AAUACAUGCAAGUCGUACGCACUGGCCCAACUGAUUGACUGGUGCUUGCACCUGUAUUGACGAUGGAUCACCAGUGAGUGGCGGACGGGUGAGUAACACGUAGGUAACCUUGCCCCGGAGCGGGGGAUAACAUUUGGAAACAGAUGCUAAUACCGCAUAACUACGGAAGCUGCAUGGUUUUUGUUUGAAAGAUGGCUUUGGCUAUCACUCUGGGAUGGACCUGCGGUGCAUUAGCUAGUUGGUAAGGUAACGGCUUACCAAGGCGAUGAUGCAUAGCCGAGUUGAGAGACUGAUCGGCCACAAUGGAACUGAGACACGGUCCAUACUCCUACGGGAGGCAGCAGUAGGGAAUCUUCCACAAUGGGCGCAAGCCUGAUGGAGCAACACCGCGUGAGUGAAGAAGGGUUUCGGCUCGUAAAGCUCUGUUGUUGGAGAAGAACGUGCGUGAGAGUAACUGUUCACGCAGUGACGGUAUCCAACCAGAAAGUCACGGCUAACUACGUGCCAGCAGCCGCGGUAAUACGUAGGUGGCAAGCGUUAUCCGGAUUUAUUGGGCGUAAAGCGAGCGCAGGCGGUUGCUUAGGUCUGAUGUGAAAGCCUUCGGCUUAACCGAAGAAGUGCAUCGGAAACCGGGCGACUUGAGUGCAGAAGAGGACAGUGGAACUCCAUGUGUAGCGGUGGAAUGCGUAGAUAUAUGGAAGGAACACCAGUGGCGAAGGCGGCUGUCUGGUCUGCAACUGACGCUGAGG
rnacentral:rRNA from 1 species